GGAGAGAAGAUUUAAAAGAGAGAGAGGGAGUUACGUAGCUGUCGUUCGAUCGAUGAUAAUGAUCCCGUUGAUGAUAGCUCCGAACGUUAUUAUACGCGUCUCAUCGAUGCAAGAUAAAAGAGAGCGAAAUAUUGAGAGAUGCGAGAGAGAGAGAGAGAGAGAGAGAGAAAGGAAAGG